rnacentral:rRNA from 1 species
AAAGCUCAAAUUUAAAAUCUGGCGGUUCUUGUGGCCGUCCGAGUUGUAAUUUAGAGAAGUGUUAUCCGCGCUGGACCGUGUACAAGUCUCCUGGAAUGGAACGUCAUAGAGGGUGAGAAUCCCGUCUUUGACACGGAUCCCAGUGCAUUGUGGUACGCUCUCGAAGAGUCGAGUUGUUUGGGAAUGCAGCUCUAAAUGGGUGGUAAAUUCCAUCUAAAGCUAAAUAUUGGCGAGAGACCGAUAGCGAA